CUUGACCUCGGAUCAGGUAGGGAUACCCGCUGAACUUAAGCAUAUCAAUAAGCGGAGGAAAAGAAACCAACAGGGAUUGCCUUAGUAACGGCGAGUGAAGCGGCAACAGCUCAAAUUUGAAAUCUGGCUCUUUUAGAGUCCGAGUUGUAAUUUGCAGAGGGCGCUUUGGCGUUGGCAGCGGUCCAAGUUCCUUGGAACAGGACGUCACAGAGGGUGAGAAUCCCGUACGUGGUCGCUAGCCAUCGCCGUGUAAAGCCCCUUCGACGAGUCGAGUUGUUUGGGAAUGCAGCUCUAAAUGGGAGGUAAAUUUCUUCUAAAGCUAAAUACUGGCCAGAGACCGAUAGCGCACAAGUAGAGUGAUCGAAAGAUGAAAAGCACUUUGGAAAGAGAGUCAAAUAGCACGUGAAAUUGUUGAAAGGGAAGCGCUUGCAGCCAGACUUGCCUGUAGUUGCUCAUCCGGGCUUUUGCCCGGUGCACGCUUCUGCGGGCAGGCCAGCAUCAGUUUGGGCGGUUGGAUAAAGGUCUCUGUCAUGUACCUCUCUUCGGGGAGGACUUAUAGGGGAGACGACAUGCAACCAGCCUGGACUGAGGUCCGCGCAUUUGCUAGGAUGCUGGCGUAAUGGCUGUAAGCGGCCCGUCUUGAAACACGGACCAAGGAGUCUAACAUCUAUGCGAGUGUUUGGGUGUCAAGCCCGAGCGCGUAAUGAAAGUGAACGGAGGUGGGACCCCAUUAGGGUGCACCAUCGACCGAUCCUGAUGUCUUCGGAUGGAUUUGAGUAAGAGCAUGGCUGUUGGGACCCGAAAGAUGGUGAACUAUGCUUGAAUAGGGUGAAGCCAGAGGAAACUCUGGUGGAGGCUCGCAGCGGUUCUGACGUGCAAAUCGAUCGUCAAAUUUGGGCAUAGGGGCGAAAGACUAAUCGAACUAUCUAGUAGCUGGUUCCUGCCGAA
rnacentral:rRNA from 1 species